UACAGAGAGUGCGAGCGUUAAUCGGAAUUACUGGGCGUAAAGGGUGUGUAGGUGGAUAGGUAAGUUAGAUGUGAAAUCCCCGGGCUUAACCUGGGAACUGCGUUUAAAACUGCCAAUCUAGAGUAAUGUAGAGGAUAGUGGAAUUUCCAGUGUAGCGGUGAAAUGCGUAGAUAUUGGAAGGAACACCAGUGGCGAAGGCGACUAUCUGGACAGAUACUGACACUGAGACACGAAAGCGUGGGGAGCAAACAGG
rnacentral:rRNA from 1 species